CUUUGUACCUAAUAUAUCUCUGUAUUAUUUUGUCCAUCCAUGUGACAGGCAGAACUCGGGCGGCUGGGGGAGACCGCCCACGUGGUGGUAGGGCUCAGGCGGCUUUGGCAGAAAGAUUUAUAGUAAUAGCCACUCUCACUUGUAUGGUCCCUGCUGUGGCAUAGCCCCCAGACUUGAACCAAGCCACAUGCUGUGGCCCAGAUCCCAGGCCUCUGUGUGGACCCUAGUGGCAACCUAGGCCACAGACUUCAACACAGACCCCAGCUGCAGCUGGGCCACAGACCCAGGCACGACCCCAGGCAGCAGCUCAGCCUGGUCAACAUCCUAGCUCCAGGUGGAAGCACUCAGAUCAGGAUGGUUCUGGCAGCAGCAUGCACCAACAAGGCCACAGGAUGCAGCCCAGACCCCAGGCUUCAUGUGGCCUUUGGUGGAAACAUGGGCAAUGAGCAUCAACAUAGACCUUGGCUGCAGUAGGACCAUGGACCCAGACCAGACAUGGUCCUUGGCAGCAGCCUGGCUCGGACAUCAACAUGGCCCAGGUGGCAAGCAGACCUCCCCCUAAGUCUACUCCUCACUGCCUUCACCAUGGCCCCAGGUGGCUAGCAGGCCUCCAAUAACUGCCCACUCUUCACUGUCUUCAUUUCUUCCUUUCUGGGUCUUUCCACAUUACAUGAACCAUUCUGUUUCUUCUCUCUCAUUUCUCCAUCACGUUUGCUUAUCAUAAUGAGGCCCACCUGUCAGGCGCCACAGUGCACCUGCUGGGCCCAUGGAUCUCUUCCCACCAGCCAGAGACUUGAAGACCCUGGCUAGGUGGGGUGUGGAUAUCUUCCCACAGGGAAUUUCUUUUCAGUGUUAAUUUCUAAUUUAGUUCCCUGUGGUGGUUUGGAAGAAAAUGGCCUGCAAAGGGAGUGGCACUAUUGGGAGGUGUGGCCUUGUUGGAGUCGGCUUGGCCUUGGUGGGGGAAGUGUGUCACUGUGGAGGUGGGCUUUGAGAUCUUUUGCUUAAGUUUUGCUCUGUGUCACAGUCUCCUUCAGUUGCCGACGAGAUGUAGGACUCUCAGCUACUACUCCAGCACCACAUCUGCCUGCACACUGCCAUGCUCCCUGUCAUAAUGAUAUGGACUGAACCACUGAAAGGGAAUUCCAUUUUGAGACAAACAAAAUUAUGCACGUUUCCUCCAGCAACUUGAGCAAGAGAUGCUGAUCAGAACAUGAGUGCUCUCAAGCCCACUGUCUCCUGGGCUGCAGUAAUCACAAAAGUACUAACAUUGGGGCUGGACUGAACUGCUGCAAUGGGGCACCACACUGUCACCUUUAUCACCUUCUGCUGUGCUAUGGGACAUAGGACAUACUCCUCCAAGCCAGCUCCAGGGCAGUUACCACAUUUCAAAACGAUAUACUCUGGGUGCCACAGCAGGGCUGGAGCUGCUGAGUGAGACGCUGGGGAAGAUACAAGGAAAAGAAGGAAUUGUGGCUGCAUCCCCCAAGCUUGAGGCCUGGUCAGCUUCACUACUAAAGCCAACGAUAAAAGUGCAUACAAAACCUUCCCAAAGGGACAAACGGCAAGAUGGCCACCAUAGGACUGCCCUCUGAACAUCCACCCAUCCACCAGGGCAUCUGUCACAUGGCAGUGGGUGUCUUAAACAUUAGAACAUACACAGAGUUUUUCUGGGAGCUUUCUUUACCCCUGGAGACCCUCAAGUGUUUCUACUGUCACAACAAAACCCCCAGUCUUGGGGCUGGAGAGAUAGCUUGCAGCUACAAGCCUGGAGAGAGGAAGGAAGUAUUCUACCAAGUAAGCCCAGAGCUCAUGGGAGCACCCUCAGAGCAGAGGAAGUUCCCUGUCAAAGACAAGACUCUUCACCAUGCUCAGAAAUUCACCAAGCUUUGACCAGCCCUGACUGCGGAGCUAAAGGGGGCUAGAGAAAAAGGACCUAAAACAGGAAAUGAACUAACAAGGAAGAGGACAAAGCUAGUACCUGAUGGUAGAUGCAGACACGUUUCAUUUAUAUUCCAUGGAAUAACCAUUCUCUCCCUGGAGGGAAGUCACUGAAGAAAGUAAGCAGGCUUCUGGACAUCCGUGAAACCCCUUGUUCCUGAGGAGAACUGCUAUUGGAAGAGGCACAUUUUACCCCUCUUUGCGCGCGUGUCCAUCAGUGAACAGUCCCAAGGUACUAUGCUGAAAUGCUUCCUCAGUGAAAGAUGAGCCCGUCAGACAAAUGGCCGUCUGCUCCUGCUGAUGACGUUCCCUUUAGGGUUCUGGUCAGUGCUGAAUCUACAGGAAAGCCAUACUACUGUCAGCUGUCUCCUAUCUUCCACACUCAGGCUGGCUAGACCUCUGAAGCUCCUAGCACCUGUACCUAUCACAGCACAGCUUCUAUAAUCACUGCAGGGAAGGACAUGGCAUUCCCUCUCUAGUCAGCUGACCACAGAAUGACCAAUGCAACAAUCACCAGAGCUGGCUCAGUGUUCCCUCCCUCUGUGUCAGAGAAUUUUCCCUGGUGGGAGAAGGGUGGCCUUCCACUCCCUUAUCUACUAAGGGGGCUUCAUGAGGUGUUUCUUGUGAUCAUUAUGAGUUAUUCUCUAACUCAGACCCCUCUGUCCUUCCCAAGAAACACAGAGGAGAAACUGCUAAGAAACUGCUAAGUCCAACAAUGUGGGGCAGAUGGAACCCCAACAGCCACACUGAUGGCUCUGCUCCCAAGGACAAGGAGCUAAGCUGAGUUAAGAAGCAGAUGGUGAGGGGAUUCUAAACCCUUUCUUGCUGGACACACCGAGACACAUGCUCUCAACACAGGAAAAAUGGGUUCCUGCCCAGUUUGAAUCAGGCUACACAAACACAACUGAACUUGUAGAAUAUGUACAGGAAGAGCUUGUAGGCAGGAGGCUUACUGGCAAGCAUGUGUAUAUGUCAGAAAUAAACCUCAAAACAAUUCAGAUUCCCAAA